CUACCUACCCACACCACAAGAAACUGUACUGGUCUGGAGUAAAAGAUGAAAAAAGCAGUGUGAUGUAUCAUGCAAUUAAGAGCCAAUUGCUUGGGUCAAGCUGUAUCCAUUAUGAAACAUCAUAUUUUAGCUUCUUCUGGAAAUUACCCGAUUCCACAACAAAUUAUAAACUUCUCAUAUAAAAAUGAAUUCACACCAAUUGCUACAGCACAUGAAAAAAAAAAAUCAACUCCCCGAAGUAUGAACUAGAUUACUAUAUUAAUUUGUCAAAUGGAAAAAAAAAGAAUUCAAAAGGUAACCACAAGUUCCAUAAAUCUGAUGGCUUAGUUUUCAACUACUCAUCUUCCUUGACAUGUGGUAACACAAAACAAAUGUUUAUAUUUUUCAUUGAUCGCAUUUCUGUAUGUAUUUUAUGUGCUUGUGCACAUAUUAAUGAAAUAUUACUCUAAGGGUAUGAGAUAUUGCUACAAGAAUGUGCUCAGUUUUAUGAGGACUGCUUUGAUAGAUGUAUCAUGAGAACAAAAAUUAGACGCACAUUUGAAAGAGUCAGAAACGAUCAAACAUUUUAUAAGAUUAAAUAUCUCCACUACCUUAAAACAAUAUUGUUUUAAUGUGUUCAAAGGCUCUGAUACAACAAAUGAAAUAGAAAAUUGAUUAAAAUCCAGAAGUGCAGAAAAACUCAAAACCAGAACUAAGAUGCACACAAUUACAAAAGCAACCCGCUGGGUUUGACAUUACCACCAGGAAAGUGUCACAAAUACAAAAAGUAGGCAGAUAUUUCUCUUCUUUAGCUCAUAAAUCUGACAAAGCUUUCUAUCAAACAGAAAGCAUUUUAAUUAAAAAUUGGAAUUUAAUUUGUUGAAAUUUUCAGUCCCACCUGGUAGUGGGAGUCUUGGAAAUAUUAUUUGGGUAUUAUGAUGAAGUCUAAACCCUUUAACAUGAAAAGUAAACCCAUUUUUUUAUGACGCAGCUUUAUUCCAAGAAAUCCAGCUCAGUUUCCCGUAUUGAUUUAUUUAACCAGUCUCAUAAAGGAAAUGUAACAUUCAGAAGUGAGAGCUGAUAUAACAGCAGUCCACCACUGCCAUUCAAUCAACUUACUAUUAACGGCAACAAUAUGCACCAUCGAUUACAAAACAAACUAUCAGGAACAACACUGGAUGAGCAAAAAUCCCUAAUUAUUGUAAGCCUAAAUUUUCCUUUCAAUAUUUCUUUUUUCCAGUAAAAAAAAAAGGUUAAAAUUUCAAUUCAUCCUUCUCAGAGUUCUGCUAACUGACAAUCAAAGGUUUUGUAGAUUUAUUUCCAACUAUGUUUCUUUAACUUACUGCACUAUGCACAUAUUGGACAAUGAAAAAUGUUGCUCUAUUGCCAUUAUCUAGUUAAUGAUACACGUCAGAUAAUGAACACUGUGUUUGUCUUAUACACAGCGGACCAAAACUAGCAAGCAUUACUCCGAAAAGAAAUGUAAGAGAUGUUGCCAGAAAGUGAUGCAAGGUGAAGUUAUCACAACCUGUACUAAACUUUGUUACUCCCUCCAUGUUAUUUUUUUUUAUCUUUACUGUUUGUAAGUAGUUUCCUUUCCAACUCUUUCCUCCAUAUGUUCCUUUUUAUAGCACAUUAGUAAUUAAACUGAUAUGAACAGGCUUAUAGUUUAACUUACAGUUUCAGACUACAGAGCAUUUCACUAACUGGAUCUAAUUUUCUGCAGAAAUAUCUCAGGAGAGCACAGAGGGGGAAUGAAACAAGAAAAGGAAGUCCUCACAUUUAAUUAUUUAUUCAGUCUCUGUGUAUGCUGCAUAUAUAUGGACAAUGUCAUCCCAAGUGCAAGAUGUAUAACAAGAACAUGGAAAAAGAUACCUCAACAUCUUUGGCAGCAGUCCCACAAAUUGUCCUGUAAGAAGUUAGCAGAAAUAAGUAACUGCAUACCGAGAGAGUUAUGAAGGCCUAGGGGGAAAAAAUCUUGAAAAUUUUCAGAGAAAAAGAGAAUAGGAAAAAAAAGGAAUUUCUGGGAGAAAAAUGAACCAAAACUUUCACAAAGACUACUUUCUCUCAGAACAAACACUGAAAUAAUUGUAGUGUAAAUGUUUAAAAGUAUUUUAUGAACACUCUCCUUCAGAACGCCUUCUGUAUUUAAUAUGUUCUUCAAAGGAGCCACAGAAGAAUAUGAGCUGGAAGAGAAGCCUUCCAGUUCAACCCUUUCCUCAAGACAAAUUCAACUACAUUAUGUCAUUCCUGACAUAUUUGUCUUGUCUGUUCUUUAUGAAUGCCAAUGAAGAAACUCAGCAAUUUCCCAAAGCAAGCUAUUCAGGGUUUCACAAUCAUUACCAUUUGAAAGUUUCCCCUAUUAUCUAACCUGAAUUUUUUUUCUUCCUCAGGAAAGCCCCUUAUUUCUUGUACCAUCCACCAUGACACUGAAAACACAUUAUCCCCUUUCUCUUUGCCUUCAAGUCUUGAUCUUAAAUCACUGAAGACUUAUCCCAUCCCUUCUCAUUCUUCCCUUCUUUAGACUAAACAACUCCACUUCUGAUCUUUUCUCCACAGUUAUCUUUUUGAUAUAUCUGAUCACCCAUCCAUGGCCUCGAUCCAAUUACGCACACUGCUCUAGGAGAGCAAUGCCCAAGUUUGGGCACGAGCUAUGGAGCAGAAGGGCUGCUUCACAGAUCCACCAGACUCCCCUGUUUAUACAAGCUGAUAUGAUGCCUGCCUUUUUUGUAACCACACAACAUUGCUGACUUUAUAUUCAGUGCAUGAUUCCCCAUAAUCCCAACUACUCUUCUAAAGUACCGCUAUCAGCACAGUUGUUGACCAUCCUCUGCUUUUGAAGUUAUUACUCCUGCUCCAACACAGCAUCUUCCAUUUAUCACUCCUGAAUUUAAUUCCACUUUUUUUUUCAGAUUAUUUCUCUAAUUUGUCAAGAUGAUUUUCAGUAUUAUUGCAGUCUCUUAAUGUUGGCAUUUCCUUCUUAGCUGCAUAUUUAAUCAGCAUAUUUUAUUUUAUCAUCUAGGUUCCUAAUGAAAACACUAAUCAUAAUUAAACCGAGGACCAAAGACUGCCAAAUCUCCUUACUUCAGAGAAGACUCAGUAUCAGGCCAUCUCUCGAUGCUUAGGACUGGUCCUAAGGACUGCAAUCCUUCAUACCUUGUUAGCUACAAAGUACUACUCCCAGUAUUUUUUCCUCUAGAACAACAAACUUCUUCUGAAUGUGCUUAUAACAUUAGAUUUCUCUCUGCACAACCAGAUCGUCAGCUAAAUGCAUGCAUUGGGAGGUGGAGGGAAGGCGUCAGGGAGGGAGGCCUGCAAGUGUCAGAGAGCCCUUCUCCUUCCCCACCAUAAGAGGCCUUGGCCUUCUCUGGAGGAGAGGUGGUAGGCCACUAGAGGGACCAGCUUCCACAGUGGGCUGCUACCAGGCUCCCCCUAGACAGCACAGGAGGUAGAAACGACCAGGAACUCUGUGAUGGGACCACGCCACCGUGCCAUGGCCAUGGGCCAAGGAUGGAAGUACCUGGUCCUUCCUCUGCUUGACAAGUCAGCAAUGCCCUGCUGGUUUAGGGUUUACAGAGGGCACCAAAGGGGACAGAAUGCAGGUCUCUGAGACCCUCCAUUUCACCUCUGAGCACAGAAGAGAACUUCCCAGUCACCCAUCAUUGUACGGGAUCUUUCUCAGAGCAACCAAACAGCUGAGAAGACCCCUGUGCACCCAGGAGGCAAGGGAAGAGAAGGCUUACCAAAAAGCUGAACCCUCAGGACACAGUAUUUCUGUCUGCUGCAAGUCCGCUGUACUGCUUUUGAUUCAAAACGUUUUAAACUUUCCUCUAUUCUAUUUCUGUCUGUCAAAAUAACUCUUAGUUUGCAGAGACAUUGUCCUUUUCAAUGGUGAACUACGUAUAGCUACACAGGCAUGCCUACAAGAGUACGCAUACUAACAAACUAUAUAUAUUUAUAAAUGUGUAAUAUUCAUAUAGUUCUCUAACUUAUAUAAAAUUAUUACAAUCUAUUUGUGUUGGCUUUGGAUGUGCAAAUUCUCAAUAUUUCACUUUAUCCCAAGGGGAAAAAGGAUUUAUUUCUCCAGACCUUCCACAGAUCUCAACAUCUUCCAACCCCACAUUCCAUCCAUCCUGCAGAGCUCAUUCUUGAAACUAGCGUAGGGCUUCCAUGAUUCAUAAAUACCCAUGGAAGGGAGUAAAAGGGAGUUAAGAUUCCUUAGUGAUCUGUAACCCUGGCUGUGCAUCAGUUUCUAACAACACAGAUCCCUGCUCUUGGGUAUGUCAGGAGCCUUCCUGUGGCCCAAAAGGAUUCCAGUGCAUAUAAUGGUCCUAAGGUUACAAGCCUGAUGGUCACCAGAAAACCAGGGACCUAGAAGACAAAGUAGUUGUCUGCUGCCUAUAUAAUGCUAAAAAAAUAACGUAUGGCAUAUUAUGACUAGACUCCUUCUUUUCUCAUCUGUCUUGUUUUUCAAAUUCCUUUGCUAAAUUAAGUAUCAUUCCAUGAAUACAACUACAUUGUAUAAUACCCUCCACAGAACUGGGUCAGCUACCUCAACAGAUGUUCACCUAAGCUUAUGGCCUUUUUGUCUCACCUACUCAAAAGAGAACUUCUCCUUUUGGUUAUAAUCUUUCAAAAUUUCUUUAAAAGCUCUGGGAAACUGUCCACACUGACUAAGUUUUAGUAAUCUUUCAUUUAAAAAGGAGAUGACUGUUCAUGAUAAUAUAACUUAACAAAUUAUCUAAAUAAGCAAUACCACAUCCGACCGUAACAGAUUGAUCUUAUGCUUUCUAUCUCAUCUCAGUCAACUCCCUAACACACAUGCAUACAAAAAACUUCACUCAUAAUCUUAAAUUUUCUUAAAUUUUCUUUCUAUGUUAUAUAAUCCUUUAGUGCUCAAUAAAUCAAGAUCACUUUAAACUCUAUGGCCAAACAUAGACUACAGCAGUGAAAAGUCACCAAGGCCAUUAAGCACAGAGAUACAGCAGCUAACUCAAGACGUGCUUCACCAGCAGACUGCUGGGCACAGACCAAAUGUCCUUGUGCAUUCUUGCACCUUUUUGCUCCCAUCCAACUGUGGCCACUUGUGAACUGGAACUGAGCUUGGUAGACUCGAAGUCUGAGUCAUUACCUUUUGUGUUCUUCUAUGUAAAUUCCAAUAAAUAAUAUUAAUGGACAUGUAUUUCUUUUUCAUUUCUUUUGAAAGACAAGGAUGAGUUAAUAAGAAGUCUUUUAGUUUAGCUGUCUUCUGUACCUGACUCCUGUCCCUGUGGAUCAUAUUGAUACUCCAUCAGAGCUGAUGUACGCGCGCAUACACACACAGAUUUGUUCAUGCCUAACUCAGCGCACUCAGUGCAUCUCAGCACUAGUUUAAAGCUAGGCAUCCUGAGAUAUUCUGCUGGAAUUACUCUCUUUAUUGAGUCAUGUCUAUUACUUUUGAGGAGCAAACAAAAAAGAAUACUGUAUCAUGUAACUGAACUGGUCUGGAGGACUUAUGUUCACUCACAGCCUUUGAGAGGAAAACAAAGCCAGACUUGCCUUCAGUUUAUCAGCUGGUCAAUAACAUCUGGAGCAUACGCAGCCCACUGCCCUGCUCACACCAGCACCAAGCGACAACAACGAGAAGUGCUCAGGAUGCACUGGUCACCAAAUUCUCGAGCCAGCAGCAGGGCUCAGGGACAAGGAGAAGCACAUGCUGGAGCAGCCUCUCGCCCAGGUCAUGCUGCAGCUGCCGAGCAAGGGCUGAGCUGCUUCCCGAGAGCCUCCCUCCCUCACCUCCCUGCCUUGGCCCCAGCGCAGCCUGCUGGGAGAGCACAUCACACGUGGCACUCGGCCCACUGGCUUGCGCCUUUCUUCUCUGCUCCCAAGACACGGCUCAGCUGCAACCCCCUCCCCAUGCCCCUAAAUACAGCCCAAAAUAAAAAGCUGUGCAAGUUAGUCCUGCUGAUAGCCUAAAAGCUUUUGAGGUGGGGGGGGAGAUACUGGUGGGAAGCAAGAAAUUAAAUUAGGCCAAGGCCUCAAGCCCUGGAUAUGAGUAAACAGAGAGAAGCAGAAAUGGGUAGCAAGACAGACUCUCCAGCUGCGGUGCUGUGCUAUGGCACGAAAGGAAAAAAUAAAGAAAGAGCUAACUCUGCUUCUUUAACCUUCUUCCCAUGCUUGCUCACUAGCUUAGCAAAGCUACCAGAAGAAGGGUCUCUUUACUAGCAAAAGCCUUAGAGGGACUGCUGGAGACCUACAAAGAAUUUGGAGCACUCAAAGUCUCUCUGCCUGAUGUCUAACUUCCACUUAGCAAGGUGCGUCAGUGCUCCCCAAUGGCUCCGGUUUACACAAGUCCCUCUGUUUUUUACAGAUCAGUCGGGUAACGUUUGGAACACACCAGGCACUGUAUGUGUAUUGGGAGGCCUACAGCAUCCAGGUGGGCCUCCAGUGGACUUCAGCCUUGAACUAACACAUUCUGGAAUUUAAGAAAUAACAGCACUUCUCCUGGAUUACAAAUUUCUGGGUCCUGGCAUUUUAAUUAAGGUACCUCUACUAAGAAAGCAUUCAGAGUCGCUAUCACCAGCAUUUAUCUUCAGCAAGAAGAGAUAACAGCAUCCUUCUGGACCUGCCUUGUUAAUGCUCUGCCCAAACCUAUUAACCCCUCGCCAUUUCCUCCCUUAUUUCUCAGUCGUGCAAGGCUGUCCUUUCUCUCCGCUGCUCCUUUUUCCACAAAGUAGAACAAGAUGAAAAAAAGUGUUCUCAGGGUUUCAGAUCAGCAGACGAAGAAAAUAAAAAUGAAGUAUAAGCAAAUUUCUUUUUUCCUAUAAAAGGUUCCAAAACCAAAGCAGGCAGAUUUUCAGAAUUAUUUCCGCCUGAUGAGCUGAUGAAAAGAGACGGGUUCCUACCGACUGUUAGCAUAUAUUUACACACUAAAUUCUAUUUAAUGAAGGAUUAAAAUAAUUAUACUGAAUUACUGUUAUUCCAUACUCUGCUUUUAUUCUUUUUAGCCCUUAGACAACCUCUGCAGCCUCCAAGAGCCAACACAGUACCCUGGCUGCCCUGGAACCCGGUCGUCCCAUUCCUCUGACCGCCGAGUGAGUCAUUGUUGUGCAGCAUGACAUUCCCUUCCUAACGCACUGGUUCCCAAACCGCGGUCCUCAGAAAGCUGGCUGACUACAUGCUGCUGGCGCUGGUCCUCGCUCCCAACUGCUGCAUGGCUUUAAAGACAACCAAGAUGCAUUAAACAGUAUCCUGACAUUAAUUUCCCCCAUAAGACGUUAUUUUAGUUGCUGCAGGGCAAGUAUGUUCUUGUGAAUGAGCGAAUAGGUGUCUCAGAAUAACUUCUCUUCUAAGGUACAGUCCACGUAAUGGGGGUAAAAAACAAAAGCAUGGAAGUCUUGCUCUAGAUAACGUGUCAGCCCUCAGUGCAAAUCUCCCUGGUUCAGCAAGUCCGGGAACUAGACCGAGACCAGGAAUUAUCUCCAGCCCUACCAUAUGGAGAUGCAAGACACCAGGCCAGUUGCUUGUUUUAUUUAAACAUGUGUUUCUGUUACCAGCAGUAUUAACAUUGCUUUGUUCCUGUUUAUAUUUAAAGAAAUGAGAAAAUAAACUAAAUAACUUUUUUCCUCUCAUUUUGUUUUUGUUCUUUUAAGAGUUCCCUGUUCCUGUCAGAGUGAGUUAGGCUGAACAGAAACAAGGCAUUCUUCUUCCAGAGCAAACGUGUCCACAUUUGGAGUUAUUUGGGAACCAUUCCUACAGCUCAAAUGCAUGUCGUUGUCCCCCCUCCUUAAUUCUGAUUAAUGUCCACAUGUAAAAAGUCCCUUAGGUUAGAUAACUGGUUGUCUACUUAACAGAUCACAGUAACACACAAUUUACCUGAGACGGCAAAACACACAAUACCCACCUGCUGCUUUUACCACUUUAGUGAGGCAUCUAAUUCAGUGGCUUAAGAGAAAAGUUUCUAAUUGUCUGCAAAGCGGCAACCGCAUCAUGACAAGAGUGAUAGGGCAGCUCAGACGACCCCAAGGAAGAAUUUGGAUUCCCUGCCCUCAUCCACACCUGAGGGGCAGAGGAACCAUCCCAUGAAUUCAAUAAAACCCCCAAAAGGAAACUCGUGUUAAGGCAAGGUUCAGCGUGCCCAGUGACCCAGCGUGCAGGCUGCGAUGUGCAGGAGAAAGCGUAACGCUUUCCCUAACAUGGACCCCUCCUGUAAGUCACGCUGGAAUCGCACAGAAAAGCCCAAGACGAUCACUUCCCAAAUCAAACAUUUCUGACGCAUCCAAAAUAAAAGAUUGGCAGGCGGCUGGCUAAAGAGGAUCACUCCUGACCAGAGUUGUUACAAGCGGAGAAAACACAAGCAAGCAAGCAAACACCUCUUUCGCUCCUGGCAGCAGUGUCCCAGCUUAGGAUUCAUAUGGAUCAUCAGGACAAUGUUAUCUAAACUCGCUAGGUCUUGCAAUCCUUCAGAGUAUUAUCUUUGGGAUACACAAGAUUGAUUACGGGCCACAGCGAUUUCUCAAAUGAAAACAUCUAUCUGGCAUUUUGACCAUCAGUUCAGUGUACAAAGGUAGAGAGCUAAAACCAACAAUAUACUUCUCAUUCAGAUUUUUCGGAUUUUUUUCCCUAAGCCGCAGGUUUUGUUUUGUUUUGUUUUUUGUGGUCUAUUUGUUUGUUUUGGUUUUGGCUCAGUAUUGACACUUCUGUUUGAUAUAAUUAAAUUGCUGGUAA